GAUGAAGAACGUAGCGAAAUGCGAUACGUAAUGUGAAUUGCAAAUUCAGUGAAUCAUCGAAUCUUUGAACGCACAUUGCGCCCCCUGGUAUUCCGGGGGGCAUGCCUGUCCGAGCGUCAUUGCUGCCCUCAAGCACGGCUUGUGUGUUGGGCCCCGUCCUCCGAUCCCGGGGGACGGGCCCGAAAGGCAGCGGCGGCACCGCGUCCGGUCCUCGAGCGUAUGGGGCUUUGUCACCCGCUCUGUAGGCCCGGCCGGCGCUUGCCGAUCAACCCAAAUUUUUAUCCAGGUUGACCUCGGAUCAGGUAGGGAUACCCGCUGAACUUAAGCAUAUCAAUAAGCGGAGGA
rnacentral:misc_RNA from 1 species